AUUUUUUUCUUCGGUUGUUAGGUUACUGCACAUGCGUGCAUUUAUUAUUGUUCGGUAGAGGUUUGUUGUUACAGCAAUUUUCGGUUUCUGUUUCAACCUGAUACUGAUACAAGAAAAAAAGACAAAAAUUGAAUACUACUACUGCGAUUCAGUAUGAAGAGAGAAAAAUGAAGUAGGUACAUUAAUUAACACCUAAAUGGUUCAGGUGUCCAUAAUGCUGGCUGCAAGUUAUUGCUCACCACAGAACCUGACGUGAGAUUCCAGUGCCCCGUGGAACUUCGGGCCUGCAAGGACGAAGGGCAUGCCAUCUUCUUCAUUGAUAAAUCCUGUUUUCGCUUGGAGCACCAUGAUGGUCGCACAGCUGGCCAAGACUUGCAUGAUGCAGUGUCAUGCCAGCACAGAACUUGAAUUAAUGGUUUAGCACUGAAGUCUUGCAAAAAGUUAGUUAAACAUAUGUAUGGAUGUUUUCCGUUUGUACAGUACCUAAGCCAGACAUCAAGUUUUCUCGCACUAUUGUGUUUGGUUUUUUCAUUUGCUGAUUUGAUUCAAUUUUUCUCUUUUUAGUAGAGUACAGCCUGUUUUGUUUCUGCACCCUCUUGUUGCUUGGUUCUUGACAUUGUGGUCUUAGGUUUUCUGUGGGCAGCUUCUCUUUGAUUAUGCUAAGACAGCUUCAUAACCAUUUGUCAAUUUUCGUGGUGGUUUCAGUGUCAAUGUGUUGUCCAACUGUGUCGAGAUAUGCUAUCAAUAAUUCACAUUUACAUUUUAUUGCAUCUGUCAUUUGAAGACUUUGCUACAGAAGUGCUGAUAUGAACUGCAUGAUUACUGUAGAAGUGUUUAUUUGAUAGUUGUGCCUUAUCUCUCUUGAUUUUGUGUAGAUAAAUUGUGCACAGGCAUGAAUAUGUUUGAAAAUGUUAAACUUAAUUAUGUUAUCAUUGCAAGUGCAAGUGAACAUGUGCACACACAUAUUACAGUCCUUGCAUUUAAACUUGCACUUGCCUUCACAUGCCAGCUCAUCCUGUUUUGUGAUUAAGUACAAAUCAUUUGAUUGACAUGAUUUUACCUCCCAGUACUUACCUAAUUCAAUGACAGAAAUCAUUGAUGCUGUAUAUAUGUGUGCUCCUGGUGUGAGCUUUCUGAAUGGCUGCUAUCCGACUUGUUGGUUUAUUUUUUUCUGACUUGAUGAGGCGUUCAAAAAGUUUAUCCCUGCACAAUUUCAUUAGCGCCGAUAUGCAUUUAUCAAGUUGCUUGUUCUUCCUACCUUGCAGGUAGAUAUAUUUAAUGACUUUGUGCAGGGAUUCCAGAUACAUGUUUGUAUUUAUGCGUGAUCUUUGGGUGUCUUUUCUGUUUGAUAUAUAACAAAUUCUGUUGGAAAUCCAGCUCCAAAUUCAUCAACUGUUAAUAGAGUGGUUAAAUAAAAAUCGUAACCAGUUGUUGAAUGGGUACUAUUUAUGCAGAUUUUAUUUUUUCCAAACUGUCAGCAUUUAGUUUUGGAAUGUGGUCAUGAUCACUAGGGCAAAAUCAUCUUUUGACAACCCCUCUUGGUGGUCUUCAUCACCUUGUAGUUUGUAAAAUAUUACCGGGUUUUCUUCACCCAACUGUUCCAUAGAUUUUAUCCAUAUAUCUAUGCUGACUGCAUCAUCAGGGUGUUGAUUCUCUUUUUCCAGUUGGAAUUCUCUAGUAAUAUUUCACAGAUCAUGUUUGGUGAUCAGAUGAAUUCUUUCAAAAGAUUUGCUGUAACUGUUUCUGAUAUCAUCAAGUAUAUGAUCAAACCCGUGGAAAGAGGAAAAUAUGUUAUUUCAGUACCAUGUAUAAGUAACAGUAGAAUGCAGUGGUGACUUUGUAAAGCAACAGUAACUAUUUAUAUGUUCGGAGAAAUGGGCAUACUCUUAACUUAAAUGUGGGUUACUGAAAUUUUGUACUCUCUUUGAUACUUCUAAAACAGAAUUUGCAUACUGAUUCAACCAGUAUAUUGUUUUUAAAAUACAUAUGUAGUAAUACUGCAACCAGGAACCACAUUAUGCUUUGCUAAAUGUCUAGUGUUGAUGUCAAAUAUUGAAAUAAGUUUUUGUGUAGUUCAGGUUGUGUUGUUUUGUGUUGAGACCAUGUUGUAUUGGCCAUAGUUAAAUUAAUUGUAUAGUUACUUAAUUUAAAAAAUUUUUAAUUAUUCAACUACAGUAAACUCUCGCAAAUCCGUGGGUGUCGGGAUUUAUGACCUUCGGAUUUUUGAAAACUUCGGAUUUUUGAAAAAUUUUCAUUAAAAUACAAAAAAAAAUUCUAAAAGAUAAGAUGGUAGUCAAUGAACAUGUAAUACUACCACAGGACGUCAUAAUAAACAAGACACUUGAGAAGUUAACAGAAUGGUACGUAAGCAAUACCAGUAUAGUCCAUUCAUAGUAAAUGAAGCACCCGAGAAAUUUUUUUUCCUGAAAAUUUACAGCCUGGCCUGAUUAAAUUUAACACACCCAUUUGUUCAAGUUGGUAGUAAAUUGUGUAAAAAGUAAUUUAAAGUCAUCUUAAAUUAAAUUAAUGGCACCCGAAGUCGCACUUUGAUGUGAAAGAGCUAGGCGUAGCAAUGUGGCGUGCGCUGAAACGGGAAGCCCCUUGAUAAGGGGAAGUGAAUUUAGGAGGGGCGGGAGAGAGAAGCGAUACGUAGCUGGCAAGAGACUCAAGGCCACUCCCUCACAGACACACGGCCAGUCCAGUUAAACUAAAGAGAAACGGGAGAAAUAAAAAAAAAAAUCAUUAGUUAAUUGUACACUAGAACCAUCAAAAAAUCUGAAAUUUUGGCACAAAACAAAAAUAAUCGGGGAAAAAAUGGUAAAACUCACAAUAAAAGCUUAUACAAAGCUAUUAUUUAACAUGCAGCAUAUAUUUUGUGUUGGUUUAUAGUGCACUUACUAAUGUUCGUAUAAGAAGAGAAAAAAAAUUGGACAGUCCGUUUAAAAACACGGCAGCAGUAGCUUGUGCGACGUAAGUGGGAGUGCGAGAAUCUCGUCUAGACAGGCUGGCGGCUGCAAAGGCAGCGGAUGCAUGACGUCAUACGGCUUACCUCUCCCUCCCAGACAACAAACCAUCUCUCUCCCUCUCUCCAGCCCUCUAGCCAUUUUCUGCGUGUGAAACUGUCAACAUCCUUCCUCCCCUACUCCACACUGCAUGCGACGAAAGCCAGGUUGUAUAGUCCAUUCCCGGUAAAAUGAACAUUUUUUAAGGCCCCCCACGGCAGCCAUUUACCGUUAAUUUUUUGAUACAAUUUGUUUGUUAGUUACAGAACAUUAUUUCUGCUGGAAAAUCUCUGAAACUUCAAAAUUUCUUUAAUGGAAAAAUUUAGCAGGGCGGUUAGAGUAUUUAUUUUUACCGCAAAUGAACUAUACUCACCUUCCCUCCGGCCAGCAUUCCCGGCGUGUGACGCAUGACAACUACAGUCGUGUGCCGCGCACAGCUAGGAAACUUGUCACUGGCAACAUGUUUCACACACUGACACACGGUGCCCAGAGCUUCAGGAAAACCUACGCGAUUUCCAACCUACUCUAAAUAUUCGACUGGAGUCUGUUUACGAAAAGCAUUUAAGAAUUUGCUAAUGCCCAACUGUUUUUUUUUAUAUCGGAUUAAGAGGAGUUAAAAUGGCUAAAAGGCAUGGUUUUGAAGUUUUAGGUGUAAAAAACCGUUAAAAAAUUUCUUGAAAGCACCAGAGGAAAAGGCAUUACACCUUUAUCUUUAUUUUCCCGCCAUAUAAUGUUACGGUCACCGCUCAAAUUUCACAGUUAUCUGACGGGAACGAGAUGACUGCGUGCCAGUUCAGAGCCUUUUACCGCGCUAUAAAUAUCAGUGAGCGUCGCUCUUACCAUCCACUGAGAAUAGUGAUACAUACAUCUAAACAGUAACGAUCAUGUCACUUCGGAAAUACCCCGGAUUUCUGAGAACUUCGGAUUCUCGGGCCACGGACUGGCGAGAGUUUACUGUAUUUCACUAAAAUAUUUUAAGAUAGUAAAAUAUAUUUCUUUCUGUUUAAUGCUGUACAUUCUUAAUAUUUGUAAUUUACAUGUUUUUGCUCUGUUCUUCAGCCCACCAAGUUUAGUAGAUAUACUAAGGUAUGGUUUAUAAAUUAUGUAAGUACAAAGAACUUAAAUGAAAAUUCAUUGAAUUUAAUGAACAUUGUAACUAGUACAUAAAUAUGAACUGUUGUCAACCAGGGCUAUGCCCUCCCUAAGCCCGAUGUGCCUCAUGCCGCUGCAGAACCCCUCUCUCCCCAUCGACACCCUCUAACUCAAACCUCCCGCUAACAAGUGCGUGUGUGCGGCGCUCACCUGAACUUGAGCAAUGGAGACUUCAUCUUUUUAAAUAAUGUAGUUAAUAAUUAAAUAACUACCCACACAGUAUCUUGGCCAGCAUGAAAGUUGGACUACUUGCUGUUUUUUUGUAUGCAUUGUCAGUGUACGUGUCGGCGGCAAUAAAACUUAAUAUUCACCCGA